CCUCUUUCUGCCAUAAGAGAUGACACAAGAAAUUAGCAGUCUACAGCCGGAAGGGAGAUCUCCCCAGAACCCCACCAUGCUGGCACCUUGAUCUCAGACUAUCAAUCACAGAAAUAGAUCUCUGUUGUUAACAAGCCACCAGGUCUGCAGCACUGAGAAACCAACGUUAAGGCAUCAGCAAAUAUGUCUUGACAAAACAGCAACAGAGCUCACAGUCUCAAGAGAAACCAUGCAAACAAGGAGAAAGAAUGAAGUAAUGCUCUACCCUUGGGACCGCUGGAGGCUAGAGCCCAACGCAGAAAUUGAGUCUUCUGAAAAUUAAGAAGUAGAUUAAUAAUUGUUUCCUGUCCUCCAUCUCUUCAGAAGGCAAAUAGGAAACUGGGGUUUUGUGGUGAUGGCAAGGGAAUAAAAGAACACCCAGAAGCUAUUCAUUUGUAGAGUGUAGAUCACACAGGAUGCAAGGGUCAAACAGUCUGCCUCUUGUACUAAGGAUGAGGAAACAGGCCCAGGGGACCUAAAUAAAGUUCUGGGGUGGUUAUAAGAA